GUUCAACCCCGGGGUUGAAAUUUCAACCCUGCUUCAGCUAUAGCAAGGUUGAAAUUUCAACCCCGGGGUUGAAC